rfam:Bombyx mori DNA, contig: Bm_scaf19_contig13981, strain: p50T/Dazao, build 2, whole genome shotgun sequence.
CUAUCUCAAAUUUGUAUGUAGUUGUAUGGCUUCCCUUCGUUUGCCGCUAGGGGCGCUGUUACAACUCCAUACAAAUUUGAGUUA